AGGCUUUGAUCCUGGCUCAGGAUGAACGCUGGCGGCGUGCUUAACACAUGCAAGUCGAACGAACCUUCGGGUUAGUGGCGGACGGGUGAGUAACGCGUGAGAAUCUGCCCUCAGGAGGGGGAUAACGGCUGGAAACGGCCGCUAAUACCCCAUAUGCCGAGAGGUGAAACGAAUUUCGCCUGAGGAUGAGCUCGCGUCUGAUUAGCUAGUUGGUGGGGUAAAGGCCUACCAAGGCGACGAUCAGUAGCUGGUCUGAGAGGAUGAUCAGCCACACUGGGACUGAGACACGGCCCAGACUCCUACGGGAGGCAGCAGUGGGGAAUUUUCCGCAAUGGGCGAAAGCCUGACGGAGCAACGCCGCGUGAGGGAUGAAGGCCUCUGGGCUGUAAACCUCUUUUCUACAAGGAAGAAGAUCUGACGGUACUUGAGGAAUAAGCCACGGCUAUAU
rnacentral:rRNA from 1 species